rnacentral:rRNA from 1 species
UACGUAGGUGACAAGCGUUGUCCGGAUUUACUGGGCGUAAAGAGCGCGCAGGCGGUCGUUCAAGUCGAGUGUGAAAGCCCCCGGCUCAACUGGGGAGGGUCAUUCGAUACUGAUCGACUCGAAGGCAGGAGAGGGUAGUGGAAUUCCCGGUGUAGUGGUGAAAUGCGUAGAUAUCGGGAGGAACACCAAUUGCGAAGGCAGCUCGCUGGGACGUUACUGACGCUGAGACGCGGAAGCGUGGGGAGCAAACAGGG